rnacentral:rRNA from 1 species
AGUGAACGCUGGCGGCGUGCUUAACACAUGCAAGUCGAACGAGAACGGAUUAUAGCUUGCUAUAAUUGUCAGCUAAGUGGCGCACGGGUGAGUAAUGUAUAGGUAAUAUGCCUCUUACUAAGGGAUAACAAAUGGAAACGUUUGCUAAUACCUUAUACUCCUUAUUAACAGAAGUUAAUAAGGGAAAGAUUUAUUGGUAAGAGAUUAGCCUGUAUUGUAUCAGUUAGUUGGUGUGGUAAUGGCUUACCAGAACUAUGACACAUAACUGGUUUGAGAGGAUGAUCAGUCACACUGGAACUGAGACACGGUCCAGACUCAUACGGGAGGCAGCAGUGGGGAGUAUUGCACAAUGGACGAAAGUCUGAUGCAGCAACGCCGCGUGGAGGAUGACACAUUUCGGUGCGUAAACUCCUUUUAUAUGAGAAGAUAAUGACGGUAUUAUAUGAAUAAGCACCGGCUAACUCCGUGCCAGCAGCCGCCGUAA